rnacentral:rRNA from 1 species
CUCGUAGGCGGUUCGUCGCGUCCGGUGUGAAAGUCCAUCGCUUAACGGUGGAUCUGCGCCGGGUACGGGCGGGCUGGAGUGCGGUAGGGGAGACUGGAAUUCCCGGUGUAACGGUGGAAUGUGUAGAUAUCGGGAAGAACACCAAUGGCGAAGGCAGGUCUCUGGGCCGUUACUGACGCUGAGGCUCGAAAGCAUGGGUAGCAAACA